rnacentral:rRNA from 1 species
UACGUAGGUGGCAAGCGUUGUCCGGAUUUACUGGGCGUAAAGGGCGUGCAGGCGGUUUGUUAAGUGCAGAGUGAAAGCUCCCGGCUCAACUGGGAGAGGUCUUUGCAUACUGGCAAACUCGAGGGAGGCAGAGGAAAGUGGAAUUCCCGGUGUAGUGGUGAUAUGCGUAGAUAUCGGGAGGAACACCGGUGGCGAAGGCGGCGACCUGGGUAGAUACUGACGCUGAGGCGCGAAAGCGUGGGGAGCAAACAGG